AAGUAGUAUAUAUAAAAUAAAAUACUUUUAAAGUUGUUAUAUUAAAUUUAAAUGCAUAUAUUAGAGAUUUAAUUAAUAGUCUUAUAUAAAAAAAAUAUGAAAAUUACAAAAAAAUAUAUAAUAUUCAAAAAGUGAAAUAGAGAGUAUGCUCCAAAUUUGGAGAAUUACUAUUUAAUUCGCUAUAAUUAAAAGGUAAAGGAUAAAAUAGAAAAUAAUUAAAGAGUAUGUUCAUUAAUUUAAUCUUCAAAUAUAAAAAAUGAAAAGUAAAAUAGAAUAGAAUUGGAGAUGAUUUAAUGUAAUAAAUAAAGAGGUCUAAAGUCAUUGUGUCACUUUUAGCAGUCAAACUUGAUCAUAGAAAUAUGUGGUCUUAUAUUAUAUAGUUGGAGAAGUCUAUCUAACUCAUAAAUCGUAAUUGAUAAACAACAAAGAGAAGUACUGCCAAGUCCCACAAAUAGUCGUUUCAGUCCCAAACAAAAGGAAAAGGAAAAUAUAAGUGUGGAUGAUGAAAGAGUAGAAUUAUAUUAUAGUUCAAUUUAUACGAUAUAAUUUUAAUUUUAAUCAUUAAAUUAAAAUAUUUGAUCAUAAUUUAUUCGUAUAAUCAUUAAAUAUUUUUAAGCAAUAUCAAAUGCUUGUAACUUUCCAUCAACAUCAAAUGUUCUGUUUUCCACAAAUAAUAAAUGAACAAUAAAGGUGCAUUCAACAAAGAUCAAUUCAGAAAUGACAAAACAAAAUUUAAGAGUUUGUUACUUACAUGUGAUAGAACUUAGAGUUUUUGACCAAAAUGAGCUAUUUUUAGAACCAAUUCACCAAAAUAAUAUGUUUUAAAUUUUAUUUACAAAACUAGUAUAAACGUACUUCAUGGUAACGUUUUAGGAUAUUUUCAUUAUAAAAAUUCAAAGGACAAAAAGUUAACAGGUUGGCGACGUUAAACGCAUAAACGUAACUUUGAGUAACGUUUUAGGUGUAAAAGGUUACUCAAGAGUACGUUUUGGAGAAUACAAUCACGGGUCACUGACUCCAAUCCUGCAAAAGCGCAGUCAAAUCAUUCAACUGUAAAACGUUACUAUGAGUAACGUUUUACACCUAAAAUGUUACUUUCAGUGCCGUUUCUUAAGAAUCCAAUCACGGGCCUUCGACUUCUGCAAAUUUAGAAUAUAUUUAGCCAUAAAAUGUUACUCACAGUGACAUUUUACCUUAAAAACGUUGUUGUCAAUUACAACACUCUGUUAAAGUCAUAUUCCUCCAUUUUUCAAACUGACCAAAGUGACUAUAAAUAAAUGUUGUUGUAAUAUUUUGCAUGUUCAAAUAUAAUUCGGCAAAAAUUUUCCUUGUGUGGUCCAUUUUAAAAAUAAUAUUCACAAAAUUUCAUCUGGUAUGAGCGAGCUUGUGGAUUAUGAGUGAGCUACGAGGUUAGAUCUACACAUUGUCUGCCUGUAUAAUCCACAAGCUUGCUCAUACACUGUAAAACUACGAUCCAUUUCAUUAUGUAUUCUAGUUGUCCUUGGACGAUUAGGACGACGAUAGAAUUCAUUACUUCUCAUUGUAAAACUUGGAGAUGGCUAAUAUGACUCAUGACCAAUUGGUGAGAAUGACCCAGAAUAUGUUGCAACAUAAUUCUCUAUUGUGAAAUGCUCGCUAACAAAAUUUCUAGCUAGCCCUCCCAUUCUAUCAGUUACCUUCAUGACAUGUGAACACGGGAAGUGCAGAUUAACCCAUUUUCCACAAUCACAUUUUCUUUCAUUUAGUGAAACACGAUGAGGAUUACCACCAGUACCAUCAACUUGUAUAGAUGUAACCUCGUAUACUCCUAUGGGUAUAUUCCAAUCAGAAACAAAGUGCCUCUUUGAACUUUCAUAAUUCUUCUCCCACUUUAUUUUGAACCUCUCGGUCCAUAAUUCAUUUUGCUCUGCAAGUUGGUGUGCUAUUUGAGACCUACGGGUAUACCGUUCAAUAGUUUGCUCCAAUGAAAGUCUAAUCAUAGCAGUGAUAGGCAAACCUCGUGCUUUUUUCAACACUCUAUUGAAUGACUCUGAAAGAUUUAUUGUCAACACUCCCCAUCUUUUUCCAUCAUCAUUGCUAACAGUCCAUUUAUCCAAGGGAAUUUCCAUGAGGUAUUCAUGUGCUUCGAUAUUUUCUUCUUUAAUUUGCCAAAUCAUGGACUCAAACUUUCUUACUUGAUGGGCUGAAGUAGCUCUCCACAUCAAUCUGCUGAGGUCCUUGUUUGAAAAUUUAGAUUGAAAGUUGCUCUUAAGAUGUCUUAUGCAAAAUCGAUGGAAGACUCGAGGCUCUUGAAAUCGACGCAGCUCCCGCAAACUAGUCAAGAUUCAUUUUGCCCUAUCAGAUAUAACACAUACAUUUUGUCUACUUUUUAUCACAUGUGCACUUCAAUUUCUAAUAAACUAUUUUCAUGCCUCUUUUGAUUCUUUUUCUACAAUAGCAAACGCUAAAGGGAGAAUGUUAUCAUUUCCAUCAAUUCCAACAGGAAUUAAUAAUUUGAUCUCAUAUUUUCCAUAAAUAUGAUUUCCUUCUACUAAAAUAACUGGGCGACAUGUUUGGAAUCCAUCAAUGCAUGACUUGAAAGCCCAAAAUCGUUACAGCCAUUUUCAACUUUUCUUUACUACUAAAAAACAUACCUUUUUUUAAAAUCUUUUUUUGCUUGCUUAGACCAAACUGAACAACAUUCCAUCUCAGAUUCACAUGUAGACAUGAAAAUGUCUUCCUCAUUCUCUAAUAUCCUGAAAUAGGUAUGUCAUGAGAUACACCCUGAUCAUGAUUAUGAAGAUUUACACCAUUUUGAGAAAAAUCUCUAAUAUCAUCGAUAUCUUCAUUAGGUUCACUUCCACCAUCUUUCGGAGGUUCAUCUUCCUCCGAACUUUCCUCACUAAUUUCAGCAUUUACAUCAUUAUAUAGAUCAACGUUGAUAUCAAUAUCUAUGUAAAAAAUUUUUAGUCAAAUUCUAGCAAAAUUAUAAAUAUACAAUCUUGUUUUAAAAGUGAUAAUAAAUAUUCUAAAAUAUUAUUUCUUCUAUUUAUAAGAGAUAAUUUGUGUAUACUGACAAUAAAAAUUAUCUUAUUAAAUUGUUAGACUAAAAUUUAAUAUAAUAAAGAUUUGUUGUUUACCUAGCCUCAUAUUCCAUGUGACUAUUAUCAAUAUGCAUUUGACUACUUGAGCCUUCACCAAAUGAUCGAUUAUCAUGCAUCAACAAUUGUUGAAAUGGUGGUUGAACAAUCGGUUCUACAAAAUGAGGUUGAUUGAUCGUGGUAAGCCAUAAUUUUGAGCCAACAAAUUCAUGUGAUAAUCAUGAUGACCACUAACUUGAAAUGCAACAUUUUGAUCUGUCGAUACAUUCUUUACAUACAUCUCCAAAACAUUUAUAUCAAUCUUAUCCGCAAAUUUUUGAGGUAUGAAAAGAAAUUGUAACAAAGAUUGGUCAUUCUCAAUUUUAAACUCAAUGAACCUUGUAUUGAUACCUUGAAUUGAACAUGGAUAUUUUCCAGAAAUAUCCAUAUGAAUAUUUUCACUAUAUGUUUCCAUUUUCUCAUGCAACAAUAUAACCAAUUCAACAUAGGUAGUUGAAGUCAACAUGCUAAUAAUCGUUCUAGCACAUUCAGUAUACCUAAAUUCGUUCAUAUCCGUAAUUAUUUCUCCACCCCAAUACAAAGCAACCAUCACAUUAUGUUCAAAGCUCGUCAUCUUAAUCAUACACAUAAAGAUAAAAUAUUUUUUAAAAUAAUAUUAUUAAAUUAGAAAGAUAAUUUUAAAGCUAUAAUAAGAACAUAACAAAGGAUAAACUUCACUUAUUUAAUUCAUACCUGAUGAAAUUUUGUGAAUAUUAUUUUUAAAAUGGACCAAACAAGGGAAAAAUUUUGCUUAAUUAUAUUUGAACAUGCAAAAUAUUACAACAACAUUUAUUUAUAGUCACUUUGGUCAGUUUGAAAAAUGGAGGAAUAUGACUUUAACAGAGUGUUGUAAUUGACAGCAACGUUUUUAAGGUAUAACGUCACUGUGAGCGUUUUAUAGCUAAAUAUAUUCUAAAUUUGCAGAAGUCAAAGGCCCGUGAUUGUAUUCUUAAGAAACGGGACUGAAAGUAACAUUUCAGGUGUAAAUUUGACUCCGCCUUUGCAGGAUUGGAGUCAGUGGCCCGUGAUUGGAUUCUCCAAAAAGUACUCUUGAGUAACGUUUUACACCUAAAACGUUACUCAAAGUUACGUUUAUGCGUUUAACGUUGCCAAUCCGUUAACUUUUUAUCCGUGGAAUUUUUAUAAUGAAUAUAUCCUAAAACGUUACCAUGAAGUACGUUUAUACUAGUUUUGUGAAAAAAAUUAAAAACAUAUUAUUUUAGUGAAUUGAUUUUAAAAAUAGCUCAUUUUGGUCAAAAACUCAUAGAACUUAAAAACGACUCAACCAAAUAUUAAAAAGUGUGUUUGGAUCAAUCAAACUCUCGUUGUAAGUAGUUAUAUUAAUCUUGUCACCACGUUUAACAAAUGAAUCACACCAUAACCAAAAUCUCCCUUUGGAUGUUUUGAACGAAUCACGUAUUACAUCGCGACACUUAAAUCAAUGGCCAAUUUUAUUUCAAAUAUUUAAGUCCAAGAUUCCUUUGUCUUUCAUUGCCCACAAUGUAAAACUAUACUCCCAUCAACCUUACAAGCAGAAGAAGAACAGAUUUAUAUUUGUUUUACAACAGAUAUAAUAUGUUUCAUGCUCUCCCGAUCUCUCUCGUCUCUCUCCUUCUAAAAUGAAUACAAUUAUGUUCAUUUUGAUACAAAUCAGUUGUAUCGAUUGUAUUCGUGAUACAAUCUGAUACAACAAAUACAAAAGGAAUUCAACCUCCCUCUCCUCUCUCUUUUCAUAUCUCGCUCAUUUCUCUCCUUUCUCUACUCUUGGUAACAUGUAAUUAUAAUUCAAAUUAACUAAUAUAUGUUUAUAGAUCUCCAAUUAAGCCCAAAGUAUACUCAUUUAUCGAAAUAUGCUAACUUAUUGUAAGUGGUAUUUAAAACGUCUUAAUAUUUCUAUUGUCCUUAUGAUUCUAUUCAUUUUAUUUUACUUGUAUACAAAAAAAGAGGUGUUUCAUUGCUCGUCAAGUUUACCAAAUUAUGUUUUUUUGGCAGUACUCAAAUUUAGAGUUUAAAAUAUUAUUAAUAAGAUUAGUUAAUAAGUAAAAUAUACUUCUAACUAAAAUUUUCUUUUGAGAUGUGUCGAGUGUACUAUAUCACAUAUAUCCUAUGAGAGUGGUGUUAUGCAUCUUAGGGUGGUAUUAAAUUUACUUUUGAAUAGUAAAGAUGUUUAAUAGAUCAUCAUGAUCGUUUAAGCGUGUAAGUGACUUUUUGAGACAAGUUCAGCAGAAAAUUUAUUUCCUUUUCCUAUUUAAUAUUAAGGGGAUAAUACCUAUUACCCCCCUAGCCUAUACCCAAAAUCUCUACGACACACCUUAUCUUUGAUGAGGUCCUAUUACCCCCUCCAACUUGUUUUUUAAGUAAUAUACUACCCCUUGCGUGCCUACGUGGCAAAAAACGUGUUUGCACCCAUGUAGGGCGAGUGAGUGCGGAAUGAGGGCAGAGUGAGUGCAACUUUUGGUUAACAAUGGCCAAUGAAAAUGAGCCACGUGUCAAAGCAAUUUGAAAAAAAUACAAAAAUGAAUUUUAUUGUUUCUCUCAAAAACAUCUUCUUCCUCUUUUCAAAAAAAUACCACCAUUUUUAUGCUUCUUUAUUUUGGAAGAAGAUCCAUUAUCAUUCAAGCUCCUUGAUUUGAAAAGUUAGGAUUAUGACAAAAUACGAGUUGAAUAAGUUGUGUAUGGAUGAGAACGAUUCAAUGUUUAACGCGGAAGUGCGAUGCAAGCAUGGAAUCUUACUGCAAAUGCAGACGUCUUGGUCAAAUCGCAAUCCCGGAAGACGAUUUUGGUCUUGUCCUCACUAUGAGGCCACAAACUGUAAUUUCUUUAGAUGGAGAGACACGGAGAGAGUUGAUGAAAGAUCUCGUUUUAUUAUUCCUAAAUUGGUGAAUAGGAUUAACGAGUUAGAAAAAAAUUAUGAGCGUGUGAAGAUGCAACUGGAACAGCUUGAUAAUUCCAACAUUGAACAGUCAAAACUAGAGAAAAUUCCUUUGGAUGAAGGUGAAAGUCUUCGAAAUCGUUAUAAAAAUCUGAACAUCAAUUCAAAGGAGAAGGUUGACAAUGUAAAAGAAAUGGGUGAAUUGAAAGACAAGAAGAAGAUGAAAGGGAUGAAAAUGAAGAAAACAAAUAAAGGCUGUUGUUUUGGCAAAUUCCUUUGUUGUCUGAUGAUUUGCUUUGUUGUUGUAUUUGUUAGUUUUCUAACCCAAGUUGGUAGGUAUAAGGAUCAUAUGAAAUUGCCAUAAUUUUGUGUGGUACUACAAAACCUUUAUUUGCUCUAUUGUAAUGUAAAAUUGAAUUUGUUUGUGUUUGAAA